rnacentral:rRNA from 1 species
CAAUAGCGUAUAUUAAAGUUGUUGCGGUUAAAAAGCUCGUAGUUGGAUUUCUGCUGAGAACGACCGGUCCGCCCUUUGGGUGUGUAUCUGGCUCUUUCUUGGCAUCUUCUUGGUGAACGUUGCUGCACUUGACUGUGUGGAGCGCUACCCAGGACUUUUACUUUGAGGAAAUUAGAGUGUUUCAAGCAGGCAUACGCCUUGAAUACAUUAGCAUGGAAUAAUAAGAUAGGACCUCGGUUCUAUUUUGUUGGUUUCUAGAGCUGAGGUAAUGAUUAAUAGGGAUAGUUGGGGGCAUUCGUAUUUAACUGUAAGAGGUGAAAUUCUUGGAUUUGUUAAAGACGGACUACUGCGAAAGCAUUUGCCAAGGAUGUUUUCAUUGA